rnacentral:lncRNA from 1 species
UAUGGCUACGCGCUAUAUACUGGGUACGGGGGUGGUGGAAUGGAAUAUAAAGGGUUUUGUGGAGGGUAGUAAUGGUGGGGAGAAAUAUAUGGAGCUUGGGCGUAGACUUGGGCUUGGGAUUGGGGAUAGGGGCGAGGUGGUCUUUUGGGAUAGGAAUGGGUUCCAGCUACAACAGUCGCCACGUCCUCUUUCUUCUUUUUAC